UACAGAGGAUGCGAGCGUUAUCCGGAUUUAUUGGGUUUAAAGGGUGCGUAGGCGGCCUGCCAAGUCAGCGGUAAAAUUGCGGGGCUCAACCCCGUACAGCCGUUGAAACUGCCGGGCUCGAGUGGGCGAGAAGUAUGCGGAAUGCGUGGUGUAGCGGUGAAAUGCAUAGAUAUCACGCAGAACCCCGAUUGCGAAGGCAGCAUACCGGCGCCCUACUGACGCUGAGGCACGAAAGUGCGGGGAUCAAACAGG
rnacentral:rRNA from 1 species